UGGCUCUCCAUGGGUAAGUAACAUAUCUUCCAUAGGAGUAUCUUUUUUAGAUUCAGUGUAUCUUUUAAAUGUAUAGAUUCAGCAAUUGAUAUGUAUUAAUUGUUAUUUUUUAUUUAUUUUAUUUAACAAUUAUUUGGUCACUUUAUUUUGGACUUUAGUAAUUAAUUUUUUCUUUAUUUUUUUUAAUAUAGCCACUUUUGUUGGCAAACGAUAUGUAUUAAUAUAUUUUUUUUCUUCAUUUUAUUUAACAUAUCAUCAGGUCAUUUUAUCUUGGACUCUAACCCCUCCCUACAUCCCACGAAUCUUGAUGCAAUUUUUUAAUUUAAAAGGAAAAUUUACAAUACAAAAUUUUCGACAUUCAAAAAUCGAAUCAAAACCAAAAUUUGAAGUUGGUUCGAGAAAAAUUGUUGGUCAAAUU
rnacentral:lncRNA from 1 species